ACGUGGCCUUAGUUUGCGCAGAGAAAUUUUGAAAUUUUAUGGUUGCCAUGGUGACACUGUGCAUAACAACCUUUUAAAUAGAUUUUUUACUUCUUGUGCCUUGUGGUGGAGCUACAGGGUCAAAAUGGAGUCUAUUUGUUUUAGCAAAACGAGAGCUUCAAGUAGCUCUUUGUUCCAUGUUACUACGACUUUCUAGUCAAAAGUUAUGGAUGAUAAAGGGUGGAACUUACACAUGAGUCUUUUAGCUAACUGAAGGUUUUCUCUGAAACUGUUGCUGUACUGCCACGUUUUUGUCUGUUACCAUACCAGAGCAAACAGUAUAAUGGUAUGUGGCCACCUGGAGCUAAAAAGCUCAAGAGUGACAUUAAGAGGUUGAAUGGGUAAAUGGGAUAGUUUAAUAGA
rnacentral:lncRNA from 1 species